rnacentral:rRNA from 1 species
ACACGACUACAUUAGAUACCCGUGUAGUCCUAAGCCGUAAACGAUACUCGCUAGGUGUCGGCCACGGUGCGACCGUUGUCGGUGCCGUAGGGAAGCCGUGAAGCGAGCCACCUGGGAAGUACCGGCCGCAAGGCUGAAACUUAAGGAAUUGGCGGGGAGCACAACAACGGGUGGAGCUUGCGGUUUAAUUGGAUUCAACGCCGGAAAUCUUACCGGGACCGACAGCAACAUGAAGGCCAAGCUGAAGACUUUGCCGGAUUAGCUG